rnacentral:lncRNA from 1 species
GAGAUCCGCGCUGCUCUUAACUCCAGGCAUGAGCACCUGCUUCUGACAGCAUUGUCUUCUGAGUCAGCUCCUGUGUUUGUUAAAGGCUAUUUCAGCACACACAUGGCUACAGACCUGAGGUGACUCAUUAAUGAAAGUUUUUCCAGUCGGUCCAACAUUGCUGUCAGCCUCUGCAGUCAAAAGCACCAACAGCAUUCUGCAGUCCAAACUGUGGAGGGGGAGCCACUAAGCUGCAUGACGGAAUCUCCUUCUGUCAUGCUUGGCCCAGAGUCUUUGGGAGGCUCAGGAAGGGACUGGUGAGUGACCUCAGCAGCCCACCAGCAGGUAGCCAAGGGUCGCCCUCUCUUCAGCCCCUGAUGCCUCUUCCAGAAAAAACAAACCACAAAGCCAGCUGAAGAAAGUGGGGGGAAGAGAGGUGGCUGAGUUCCUCAGUGUGGCUGGCUUUGGAAGAGCAAACACUUCAUUUGUUUUCUAAAUAUGAACUUAUUAUAAAGAUGUCCUUCCUUAAAAGACAUCUGAGAUGCCAAAGUUGGUCCAGGGUGUCUGGAGACAGUGGCCACAUAGGAAGUCUGAAAUGAUGAGGUCUCCAGAAGAAGGUGUGUGCAACCAUACCUUUAAUCCCAGAUGACCUUGAACUCAGAGAUCUCCUUAUCUUAAUCUUCUGGAAUUCAUAGCCACUAUACCUCAAGAUCUCCAUGCCAAGAUCCAGGUCAGAAACUUGUAUCUCCCAGCCUCCAGAUUAGGAUCACAGGUUUCUGUUGCUGAGAUGAAACGCCAUGACCAAGAAGCAAGUUGAGGAGGAAAGGGUUUAUUCAGCUUACACUUCCAUACUGCUGUUCAUCACCAAAAGAGGUCAGGACUGGAGCUCCACCCAGGGCAGGAACCUGGAGGCAGGAGCUGAUGCAGAGGCCAUGGAGGGGCAUUGUUGACUGGCUUGCUCUUCAAGGAGAAGCCUCUGGACAUGCCUGGGCAGCCUCUGGACAUGCACUGCUCCCAUUCCUCGCUGAGAGGGCAUCUCCCCGAGUGCCUCUCCAUCCCAGUAGACUCUCCAGAUGUGCCCAGUCCUCAACUGGUGUGGCCUCACCAGAGAGACUCAGACCAAACAGGCCUCCACAGCCUCUCUCUAGACACUUUCUGGGAAACCACAGUGGAAUACAAAAGGGCACCAACUGUUCUGAUCUCUUGAAGAGCUCCUCAGGCAACCUUCUGUUUCUAGCAAGAUGAUACACCCAAGCCUUGAUGACAAGGCUUGGCUCUCAACCUCCUUGCUCCCCACCUCCUGUGAAAUACACAAAGAAAUUCAGUGAUCAUCGGGGAUGCUCUGGUCCAAACACUACCUGCCAGCCAGACGCAGGAGAUGGAUGGCUCAGCAGUAAUCGUGCUGCUUGAGCUUGGUGUCUAAUGGGGACAGUAGUGACAGGAAGUUCACAGGGACUGGAAGACAUGAGUUCUCUGAGGGAAAGGAAGGUGAAGCCUGGUGCUUAGGACCCUCAGGAGACCAUAGGAUGUGAGAAGGCUCAAGACACCCAGAGGUGGGGUCAGAAACAGGGCAAAGGAGACCAAGCAUGGGAGAGCUGCAGUGGACGUGUACAGACAGGAGAAGCAGGCCCUAAAGAAUCCCUGAGGCGGCAGAGAGGCUGGGCUGUGGAACUUUUUAAUUACUUUGCAUUAGGGGACUGUAGAGACCCAGAAGCCCACCCUUCCCCUCCCCUCAUCAGCUUAGCCCCAACAUAUGGUGGCUACCAAAGUAGUUAAAUCGGCUCUUGGUAGAAAAGGAAAGAGAUUCCUCCCAGGCUCUUCCCAGGGUCCACGGCCACACUCCAGGAGGGCUCAACUCCAGGGCAAGGCAGCUGGGACAGCAGGCAGCUGAAGGAGGACUAUUACUGCACCUUAGGGAAGAGUGCAGUGGCGAGUGGGGAGGACUCUGCUGGGACCCGGGGGUCAUGUGCAUUCCCAUUUAGUUGAGCUCUGCUUAAUCCGGGCCUAGGCUCACAGUAAUGGGGAACGAGGAGAGGCUCCCAUCAGAGACCAAGAAGAUGACAGACUCUCUGUAAAGGCUGUCAGAGGGGUCUGCAUGACCAACCACACCUGCUCCUGUUCCUUUGGGGCUCUUGUGACCUCCCUGUCUUCUUGUGAGAUCUUAUGUUCCUCCAACCCUGAGAGCUACAAACCAAUCUCCGGAAUAAAAAAAUCUGUCCCUCGU